AUGGGCGCAAAUGUAAGCCUCCGGGCUCGUAGAUGUGACACCUCUGCCGGUGCUUUCUCCUGGCCUGUCUCUUCAGCCAAGCAGUGUCUACUAUAUGCCAGGUGGGCUUCCCUGGUGGCUCAGAUGGUAAAGCGUCUGCCUACAAUGUGGAAGANNNNNNNNNNNNNNNNNNNNNNNNNNNNNNNNNNNNNNNNNNNNNNNNNNNNNNNNNNNNNUAUUCUUGCCUGGAAAGUUCCAUGGACUGAGGAGCCUGGUAGGCUACAGUUCAUGGAUAUGCAAAGGGUCGGACAUGACUGAGCAACUUCACUUCAACUUCACUUCAUAUGCCAGGUAGGGGGGCUACUUAAGCUUUCACAGAUCCUGUAAUCUAUUGACAGACGGUAUAAAUAAGUAAUCAGAUCAUUAAAAUUUAGGGGAAAGCACCAUGGAAGCACAUAGUAGAUAGAGGUGACCUAACUCUGACAUGGGGAAGUUGGCAAGGGCUUCCUCCUGAAAAAAUUAGAGUUAAAAAAAAAAAUUGAAGGAGCAGUGAAAAUUAACCUGGUUAAGCUGUUGGAAUGGGAGAAGGGUUUGGACUGAGGAAAUAGCUUAUUCAUAUGCUUGGAACUGGGAACAUAACAUGGUAUUAUUGGAGUCUUUAUCAGAGAUAUUUAUGAGAGCAAGAACUUCAAAUUGUUCCUGAUUGUGACAUUUACAGUUUCAAAAGUAUUGCAAAAACUUGGUGAAUACCAUCUCAGUCUUGACAGGUGCAUAGUCUGAUAUGUCCAAAGAUAAAACCUGUCACCCAGCUGAUGCCCUGCCCUUAGUUGGGGCACGAGCUUUAGCUUUUAGCAGUUUAUUCUCACCCAGUGGUCAGGUUGGCUUUGAAUUGAUUAGUGCAGACUGAUGCAGUUGGUAUAUGGGUCCUCCUGGGGAUGAGGUGGGAAGCCCUUGUAAAUCCAAGAUUACAGGACUGCUUCUGUUGGGAAGAUAGAAUUGAUUGGUGUGAGAUGUAAGAGUAAAUAUCAAGAAACUUUUUGUGUUCUGGAACCCCUAAUGAAAAUAAAUUUUAGAGGCUUAUGGAUCAUUAGUCCUGGAGUAUAAUUUGAUUAAUCUCCCAAGAAACCAGAUCCUGUUUUAUGAUGCAUAGAGCUCUGAAUUUGGGAAGAGUCCAAAAGGUCUGGGUUCUAGUCCAGCCAUGUGUUUUGGGGCCAAUUAUUUAAUAACCAGCAGCACAGCUGUUAUUGUUACGUGCUACUGCCACAAUCGGGAACAUCCCCCCUGGAGAAGGGAAAGGCUACCCACUCCAGUAUUCUUGCCUGGAGAA
rnacentral:lncRNA from 1 species